rnacentral:rRNA from 1 species
UACGGAGGGGGCUAGCGUUGUUCGGAAUUACUGGGCGUAAAGCGCGCGUAGGCGGACCUGCAAGUCGGGGGUGAAAGCCCGUGGCUCAACCUCGGAACUGCCUUCGAUACUGCGGGUCUCGAGUCCGGGAGAGGUGAGUGGAAUUCCUAGUGUAGAGGUGAAAUUCGUAGAUAUUAGGAAGAACACCAGUGGCGAAGGCGGCUCACUGGCCCGGUACUGACGCUGAGGCGCGAAAGCGUGGGGAGCAAACAGG